rnacentral:rRNA from 1 species
CCUACGGGCGGCAGCAGUGGGGAAUAUUGCACAAUGGGGGAAACCCUGAUGCAGCGACGCCGCGUGAGUGAAGAAGUAUUUCGGUACGUAAAGCUCUAUCAGCAGGGGAGAAAAUGACGGUACCUGAGUAAGAAGCCCCGGCUAACUACGUGCCAGCAGCCGCGGUAAUACGUAGGGGGCAAGCGUAAUCCGGAUUUACUGGGUGUAAAGGGAGCGUAGAUGGAUGGGCAAGUCAGUAGUGAAAUUCCAUGGCUUAACCAUGGAACUGCUUUUGAAACUGUGCAGCUGGAGUGCAGGAGAGGUAAGCGGAAUUCGUAGUGUAGCGGUGAAAUGCGUAGAUAUUAGGAGGAACCCCAGUGGCGAAGGCGGCUUACUGGACUGUAACUGACGUUGAGGCUCGAAAGUGUGGGGAGCAAACAGGAUUAGAUACCCUGGUAGUC